UACGGGGGGAGCAAGCGUUGUUCGGAUUUACUGGGCGUAAAGGGCGCGUAGGCGGUCAGCACAAGUCAGUUGUGAAAUCUCCGGGCUUAACUCGGAAAGGUCAACUGAUACUGUGCGACUAGAGUGCAGAAGGGGCAACUGGAAUUCUCGGUGUAGCGGUGAAAUGCGUAGAUAUCGAGAGGAACACCUGCGGCGAAGGCGGGUUGCUGGGGAUGAGCUGACGCUGAGACACGAAAGCCAGGGGAGCAAACGGG
rnacentral:rRNA from 1 species